rnacentral:rRNA from 1 species
GACGAACGCUGGCGGCGUGCCUAAUACAUGCAAGUCGAACGAAGUUGUUUUAACUGGUGCUUGCACCGACUUAAACAACUGAGUGGCGAACGGGUGAGUAACACGUGGGUAACCGUGCCCCCAAACGUAGGGGGGAGUAACAUUUGGUAAACAGAUGCUAAUACCGCAUAACCACAGAAACCUCAUGGUUUCUGUGUCAAAGAUGGUUUCGGCUAUCACUUUGGGAUGGACCCGCGGCGUAUUAGCUAGUUGGG